UCUGGGUUUCCAGUAAGUGGCAUGCGGGACUCCGCAGACAUCCCAAUGAGCUGAGCCCAGAGGCUUUGUGUGCACCGGGAGGAGGCGGCAGCGGCCGCCGGCCCGGAGACCCCGCCCGGGGGGCCGGCAGGAACAAUGCUAGCCUGCCUGACCCGGGGGAACUUACUGGACGUCCUGCAGGAGGGCUUCAACGAGCAACAGCUGCAGGCGUACGUGGCCUGGGUGAAUGCACAGCUGAAGAAGAGGCCAGCGGUGAAGCCAGUGCAGGACCUGCGACAAGAUCUCCGGGAUGGGGUGAUCCUGGCGUAUCUCAUUGAGAUUGUUGCAGGAGAAAAGCUGAGUGGGGUACAGCUGAGUCCCAGUAACCAACAAGAGAUGAAGAAUAAUGUGGAGAAAGUGUUACAGUUUGUAGCCUCCAAAAAGAUUCGUAUGCACCAGACUUCAGCUAAAGAUAUCGUGGAAGGCAACCUGAAGUCUAUCAUGAGGCUGGUCUUGGCCUUGGCAGCUCAUUUCAAACCUGGCUCCAGCAGGACAGUGAGCCAAGGACGGGAUGCUGGAGCCCCCCUUCAGACUCACCAGCCUCACUGUGCCACUGCUGUGGCCCAGGGAGCAGCCGCUGCUCUGGCCGAUGUGUGUCAUGACAUGUCGAGGUCUGGGCGGGAUGUCUUUCGAUACCGACAGAGGAACAGCAGCGUGGAUGAGGAGAUUGAGAAUCCCUGCUGGAGCGUGCGAGCCCUGGUGCAGCAGUAUGAAGGACAGCAAAGGUCCCCGUCUGAGUCCAGCUGCUCCAGCCUGACUUCCCCCAGUCCUAUCCACAGUGCAAAGAGCGAAUCUGUCAUAACCCAGUCUGAGGAGAAGGCGGAUUUCGUGAUUAUUCCCUCCGAAGGAGUAGAGAACAGAACAGAGGAGACAGACUCUCCAUUACCCCGGGACUGGAGACCAGACAGUCCCCGGACCUAUCUGGAGACUUCAUGGGAAGAGCAGCUGUUGGAACAACAAGAACAUUUGGAAAAAGAAAUGGAGGAAGCCAAGAAAAUGAUAUCAGGAUUACAGGCCUUACUGCUCAACGGAUCCUUACCUGAAGAUGAACAGGAGAGGCCCUUGGCCCUCUGUGAACCAGGAGUCAAUCCCGAGGAACAGUUGAUUAUAAUCCAAAGUCGUCUGGAUCAGAGUAUAGAGGAGAAUCAAGACCUAAAGAAGGAGCUGCUGAAAUAUAAACAAGAAGCCAGAAACUUACAGGGGAUAAAGGAUGCCCUGCAGCAGAGGCUGACUCAGCAGGACGCGUCUGUCCUUCAGCUCAAACAGGAACUACUGAGGGCAAAUAUGGACAAAGAUGAGCUGCACAACCAGAACGUGGAUCUGCAGAGGAAGCUGGAGGAGAGGAAUCGGCUCUUGGGAGAAUAUAAAAAGGAGCUGGGGCAGAAAGAUCGCCUCCUGCUGCAGAACCAGGCCAAGUUGGAAGAGGCACUUCGGAAACUGUCUGAGGCCAGUUACCAGCAGGUGGACAUGGAGCGAGAGCUGGAACAGAAAGAUGUCCUUUGGGCUCACUGUGUGAAAAGAGAGGCCGAUGAGGUGACCAACUACAACAAUCACAGCUCUCAAAGCAAUGGUUUUCUCCUUCCAGCGGCAGGAAAAGGAGCUGCUUCAGUCGUUCGCAGAGGGGUGGCGCGGCCCCGCGGUUCCGCCCACAGAGCAGCGACCUGCAGCUUGUGCGAGACGCCCUGCGCAGCCUGCGCAACAGCUUCAGCGGCCACGACCCUCAGCACCACACCAUCGACAGCUUGGAGCAGGGCAUCGCCAGCCUCAUGGAGCGUCUGCAUGCCAUGGAGACCCAGAGGAAGCAAGAAAGAAGGGUUCGGGGCAAGUCACCCAGAACUCAAGCAGGUAGUGAAUACCGGGAGUCCUGGCCCCCUAAUUCAAAGUUGCCUCACUCACAGAGUUCUCCAGCUGUCAGCAGCGCCUGCACAAAAGUGCUGUAUUUCACUGACCGGUCACUUACACCCUUCAUGGUCAAUAUACCAAAGAGGCUGGGGGAGGUGACACUGAAGGAUUUUAAAGCAGCUAUUGACCGGGAGGGAAAUCAUCGGUAUCACUUUAAAGCACUGGAUCCUGAGUUUGGCACUGUCAAGGAAGAGGUUUUCCACGAUGAUGAUGCCAUUCCUGGAUGGGAAGGGAAAAUUGUGGCCUGGGUAGAAGAAGACCAUGGAGAAAAUUAAUGCUGAGUAUUAGAUUGGGGACUUGCGGAAGUUGGCACGCCCUGGCUGCUUCACUCAGGAAAGAGGACUAAAACCAGAAUACACCAGGAAGUUUGUGCUGCCAAAACAGAAGCUUCUCCAAGUGUGACAGCCAUAGGCCAGUCCUGUUUCGUGCCUGGCAUGUGUGGUAUCUAAAAUCUCUGUCCAAAAGUAGACCAUGGGUUCUUCUGGAGUUCCUUGUCCGUGGGAACACACUGUUUUACUCUACUCUGCGGACAACAAACCGAAGGCCUUAACCAACGUGGAUGGAUGAUCCCGCUCCUAUAUGGGCAUGGCUGCUAUUAUCUGGAACCUGGGAACUGGAUGCAUCACUCCUAUGUGUUACAGUAUUAUUUUCAUUUUAAUUGGCCUCAGUGGUUGCAGCAAUCAGGGUCCCAGCAUUUGUACUCACAGACAAGGUGGAGGUACCAGCUUUUUUGCUUCUUUGCAGCUGUUGCAAACCAAGAAUAACUCAGAAGGUGGUACCAAAGAUGAAAGCCCACUCUUCAGGAAUUUUUUUGGACUGGACGUGGAUGGUGCUGAAUUGUUGAUUGGAUUGAAAAAGGGCUGCCCUUAUUGUGCUGUACUAUGCUAAAACCAUAAUUAAGACCUUGGGCUGCCUCUUGCGUCUUAACUGAUUCUGCAACUUGUCCUUUAGCCCACAGAAGGCGUAUUUCAUGUACUGCUUGUUUUUCUCUGUGGACUCUCUAACUUUAGAGCCAUUUCCCUCCCCUUCUAACUGAUGAACUUUGUGUUUGAAAGGAAUAAGGAGUGAAAAUCUCCUUUCAAAUCCAGGCGGGUAUGGAAAGGUGCUGCUACCCAUAUCUUCUUAACUUUCUUUCUCUCAUGACUUUUCUUUAGCCCAUGGCAUCUCCUUUGCAGUCGAAAGGAAACAAACCAUUACUUUCAGUGUUUGUGAUUUAUAAGUACUGAGCAUGAGUUACUGGUCUGCCCCUCUUCAAUGUCAACGCCAGAGUUAUUUUCUAUUAUAUAUUUAGUCUAAGCUGAUCCUUUAGGGCACAAUAGAAACCAUGGGGGCAUGAGUUGUGAAUGGCAGGGUUGAUUCUGGGUGAAAAAAGCCUAGAAUCCUUUCUCAUGUGCAACACUGUCAAGUGUAGAAGCUAAAAGAGUUAAACUUUCAGAGAUUACUUAGUAUCUUGAGUUUUCUCAUUCAUUCAACCAAUUAGAUAUAUAUAUAUAUAUAAAAUCAGUAUAAAUAUAUACUAUAAAUAUAUAUGUAUAUCUGUAUAUCAGUCUCCAAAGCAGUCUGCCUGUGAUCACCAAUGUACACUGCCAAGCAGAAGAGUCAGACAGAUCUAGGUUCUUGACCUGUCUGUCUCAAGUUCAUCUCCCCUUUUCAGCCAUUUCAACAGACUACUUGUUGGAGCUCUGACAUGACAUUUUGUUGUUUUAUAUAGAUGCGUCUUUUAAAAAUAGUUCAUGUUUGGAGAAUUCUUUUGUACUCAUUUGCUUUUUGUCCAAGAACCAUGUCUAUUUUUAUAACUUGAGUGUGAGUUCUAUAUAUUCUCACAUUCUGUAUACUGUAUCCAUUUUCUAGGGAACCCAGUGGCUUUUAUACAGGCUCUUUUCUUCUUACCAGCCCUUGUGGUUUCAGAACAAGCUUUAUUUUAUUACAGGUAUACUAAUGACAACUCCUGUUCCAGUUCUACCAGCCAUUUCAGUUGUGGAGUUAGUUUUACAGAAGCUCUUUGAUGGCUCCUUUAGCUGACAGAAGGAACUCAGAAGACACCUGAUGUCUUUCAUAUAAGUUGACUUGGUUUCCUCCUACUGAAGAAUGAUUUCUCAUCAGAAAUGACUGGGACAAUUUGGGAAAGUCAGUUAAAAGCAAGAAUAAUUCAUUACAAAAGCAGACAAGAAGAAAACAGUAUAUUUGCCUUUUUUUCUUUUUUGCCCCCCAGGAAGUCUGGAGGAAAAGUCCUCCCGUCACCAGUUUCUCUGUUGCAUGAAUUUUAGUGUUUUGCUGUAAGACAGCAUGAGGGUUAUCAGACUAAAAUUUGUUAUUGUAUUUUCAGUACAAUUUAUCUUGACUGUUAAAAUCAGUUUUACUUGUCAGUAUUCUUUCAGCAAACAUUCUUACUAUUAUGUAAAUUUAAAUUUUCAGAGGAAAUUAAAUCAGAGAAAAUUUUCAGAGUCUUUUACCUUCUUUGUCUUUUAUCUCUGUGUCCUUUGGAAAAGGAGCUGCGUGGCCCUGGUGCCUCCAUAGAAAGCUUAAGUUGAUUUCAUAGCUCAUUAACCUCAGAGACCAUGGGUAAUAAUGAAGCACCCCCAUUACAGGAUGGCACGCCAGUAUCUUUUUGUAAAAUGUGUUGGUAAUCCUCAUUCCAGUUUCUAAACAGAGGAGCCUUCUAGGAGGAGUGUGCACUGAUUCAUUCUGGUUUGAACUGUCUCCUAUUUGAUAAAUAGGAGAGCUUCUGAUUUAAGAGUAUUGCCCCCUACUGGCAUUUGUGUUGGGACAGUCCAUCCUGCUACUGGUGAAGUUCUUUCUUUGAGAAAACUAAAGAACUAGAAAUGUUUAGAGCUCAUGAAAUAAUCUCUAAACCCAAUUUAAAAAAUGACCCUGUCAUAAAAACUAAGUUAAUAAAAAGUUCAAUUCCUUAAACAGUCUUCAUUUAAAAACUGAAGACCAUUCUCACUGUUAACUAAAGUAGCUGGACUGGAAAAUUUUACAAUUUCGACCUAAAGAAUUUAGGUUAAAUUUACUUGGUACUGAAAUGGCAAUCCUACCAAGUGACCAACGUCUCAGCUCUUUUUGACCAGGAUGGUUGUACAUUAAGGAAGAUAUCUGUAUGCCCUAUAUUCAAUCCAAGAGGACUCUAAUUACUUAAAACAUUCAGAUCAUAAUUAUAAUAAUUUUCAUUUUUCCCAUAAAAUAAGCAUUAUGAUUGCACACUUCUUCUACUGUCUGAAUUUAUGUAAGAGGGUAUAGCUUGCUUAAAAUAUAUAUGUAAAGUUAUAUUUUCUUAGAAACAUGGAUGUUUGCAACCAUUGCUUUCGAAAGGAUUACUAUCAUGUAUUGUUUUACGCUUUCAUAAAGAUUGUGUUAUACCAGAGGCUUCUGAUUAUCAAAGUGAUAACCAGUUUUAACUGCCUGUAUGUGCCAGAUUUGUGAACUAGUUUUAAAAAAAAAAGCAGAAACGAACUAUGAAUAAAAUGGAGUUUGCAAACUAAAUAUCAUUCAUAA